rnacentral:rRNA from 1 species
CAACUUUCAACAACGGAUCUCUUGGCUCUCGCAUCGAUGAAGAACGCACCGAAAUGCGAUACGUAAUGUGAAUUGCAGAAUUCAGUGAAUCAUCAAAUCUUUGAACGCACCUUGCCCCCCUUGGUAUUCAGAGGGGCACACCCGUUUG